rnacentral:rRNA from 1 species
UACGUAGGGUGCGAGCGUUGUCCGGAAUUAUUGGGCGUAAAGAGCUCGUAGGCGGUGUGUCGCGUCGGUCGUGAAAACUUGGGGCUUAACCCUGAGCUUGCGGUCGAUACGGGCAUCACUGGAGUUCGGCAGGGGAGACUGGAAUUCCUGGUGUAGCGGUGAAAUGCGCAGAUAUCAGGAGGAACACCGGUGGCGAAGGCGGGUCUCUGGCCCGGAACUGACGCUGAGACGCGAAAGCGUGGGGAGCAAACAGG